UCGGUUUGUAAGGUGUUGUCAUACGAAAUAUAUCGCAAUUUGUUGUUAUAACGAAGCGAUGAUGUACGUUUUUCCUGAAGAAAAUAUAAUAAGAUAAUUAUUUACAUGAACCAAUUAUUUACGCGAAUAAGUAGCGCCACGGGUACCAUCAUGUGCCCGUUGGUCUACCUAUUAAAAAAACUGCAACUUGCAAGUAAAGCAUAGUGUACAACAAAAGAAAGGAAACAAAUAUGAAAUAAUAACAGGUCUUUAAGAAAUUUUGUCGGCAAGAUAAAAAGAAGAAUAAUUCUCAUGAACAAGAAGAUUAGAAGGUUACAGAAGUUUAGUAUAGUUAGUAAACUAUGGUGGAGUACCACCACGCUGCUUCUAAACGGAUUAUUUGAUACUUUUGGAAUUUCAUCCGGCACAUGCAGGUAUCACGAUGUCCACCACCGACGACGAGAUGGAUUAUACACAAGGACAUCAAAGUGACAGAAGGGCUGGCUCAUUCUUCCAGAGGAUCGGAAUUAUGUUUCAACGGAGAAACGCUGCUAAUAAAUUCGUGCCACCAUUCCACGCGGUCUCAAUUUGAACAGUGA